UACGGGAGGGCAGCAGUGGGGAAUAUUGCACAAUGGGCGCAAGCCUGAUGCAGCCAUGCCGCGUGUAUGAAAAAGGCCUUCGGGUUGUAAAGUACUUUCAGUCGUGAGGAAGGUGUUAAGGUUAAUAACCUUAGCAAUUGACGUUAGCGACAGAAGAAGCACCGGCUAACUCCGUGCCAGCAGCCGCGGUAAUACGGAGGGUGCGAGCGUUAAUCGGAAUUACUGGGCGUAAAGGGCACGCAGGCGGUUAAUUAAGUUGGAUGUGAAAUCCCCGGGCUUAACCUGGGAAUGGCAUUCAAGACUGGUUAGCUAGAGUCUUGUAGAGGGGGUAGAAUUCCAUGUGUAGCGGUGAAAUGCGUAGAGAUGUGGAGGAAUACCGGUGGCGAAGGCGGCCCCUGGACAAAGACUGACGCUCAUGUGCGAAAGCGUGGGGAGCAAACAGGGAUUAGAUAC
rnacentral:rRNA from 1 species